rnacentral:rRNA from 1 species
AACGAACGCUGGCGGCAGGCUUAACACAUGCAAGUCGAACGGGUGUAGCAAUACAUCAGUGGCAGACGGGUGAGUAACACGUGGGAACCUUCCUAGGGGUACGGAACAACUCAGGGAAACUUGAGCUAAUACCGUAUACGUCCGUGAGGAGAAAGAUUAAUCGCCCUUAGACGGGCCCGCGUCGGAUUAGGUAGUUGGUGGGGUAACGGCCUACCAAGCCUACGAUCCGUAGCUGAUCUGAGAGGAUGAUCAGCCACACUGGGACUGAGACACGGCCCAGACUCUUACGGGAGGCAGCAGUGGGGAAUCUUGGACAAUGGGCGAAAGCCUGAUCCAGCCAUGCCGCGUGAGUGAAGAAGGCCUUAGGGUUGUAAAGCUCUUCUGCCAGGGACGAUAAUGACGGUACCUGGAGAGUAAGCCCCGGCAAACUUCGUGCCAGCCGCCGCAGUAAAAC